rnacentral:rRNA from 1 species
UUCCUACGGGAGGCAGCAGUGAGGAAUAUUGCACAAUGGGGGAAACCCUGAUGCAGCGACGCCGCGUGAGCGAUGAAGUAUUUCGGUAUGUAAAGCUCUAUCAGCAGGGAAGAAAAUGACGGUACCUGACCAAGAAGCCCCGGCUAACUACGUGCCAGCAGCCGCGGUAAUACGUAGGGGGCAAGCGUUAUCCGGAUUUACUGGGUGUAAAGGGAGCGUAGACGGCCAUGCAAGUCUGAUGUGAAAACCCGGGGCUCAACCCCGGGACUGCAUUGGAAACUGUGCGGC